GCGAGGCCGAAAGGCGUAGUCGAUGGGAAACGGGUUAAUAUUCCCGUACUUCUUACAAUUGCGAUGGGGGGACGGAGAAGGCUAGGUGGGCCUGGCGACGGUUGUCCAGGUUCAAGUGCGUAGGCUUGAGAGUUAGGUAAAUCCGGCUCUCUCUAAGGCUGAGACACGACGUCGAGCACCUACGGGUGUGAAGUCAUUGAUGCCAUGCUUCCAGGAAAAGCCUCUAAGCUUCAGAUUGUAAGGAAUCGUACCCCAAACCGACACAGGUGGUCGGGUAGAG
rnacentral:rRNA from 1 species